CACCAAAGCACCAAGUCAGGGCAUUCUUAAAACACAUUUUAAAUGUGUUGACCAUCAAUUAAGCUUGUCUGUUACGUCUUUGGAAGAAUAAUACUGGCCGCUCCUAAUUUUCUCGUUUUGAGUUAAUUUUGGAUAGAAUUAUAAUGAUUUUCUUCUUUAUAUUUCUUUUAGGCCAGCUGGGAACUUUUUGAGUUAAAGGUUUUCGUUUCAAUUAGUAUUGAAGUACAAAACAUUUGUAGUAAAGACCCCAACAAUC
rnacentral:snoRNA from 1 species